AACGAACGCUGGCGGCAUGCCUAACACAUGCAAGUCGAACGAGACCUUCGGGUCUAGUGGCGCACGGGGGCGUAACGCGUGGGAACCUUCCCUUAGGUUCGGAAUAACUUCCCGAAAGGGGUGCUAAUACCGGGUAAUUUUCUCGGAACAAAGAUUUAUCGCCUUUGGAUGGGCCCGCGUUGGAUUAGCUAGUUGGUAGGGUAAAAGCCUACCAAGGCGACGAUCCAUAGCUGGUCUGAGAGGAUGAUCAGCCACACUGGGACUGAGACACGGCCCAGACUCCUACGGGAGGCAGCAGUGGGGAAUAUUGGACAAUGGGCGAAAGCCUGAUCCAGCAAUGCCGCGUGAGUGAUGAAGGCCUUAGGGUUGUAAAGCUCUUUUACCCGGGAUGAUAAUGACAGUACCGGGAGAAUAAGCUCCGGCUAACUCCGUG
rnacentral:rRNA from 1 species